rnacentral:rRNA from 1 species
UACGUAGGGUGCGAGCGUUGUCCGGAAUUAUUGGGCGUAAAGAGCUCGUAGGCGGUCUGUCGCGUCGGUCGUGAAAACUUGGGGCUUAACCCUGAGCUUGCGGUCGAUACGGGCAUGACUGGAGUUCGGCAGGGGAGACUGGAAUUCCUGGUGUAGCGGUGAAAUGCGCAGAUAUCAGGAGGAACACCGGUGGCGAGGGCGGGUCUCUGGGCCGAUACUGACGCUGAGGCGCGAGAGCGUGGGGAGCAAACAGG